GUUGCCAAGGUUACUUUAAUUCCAUCACAGCUCCUUUCUCCAGUUGCUAAUCUGGAGCACCGGACUGGGUGGUACACAUUAACAACCAAAACCUCAAUUAAGGCUAACCCCAAACUCAGGCUACUCAAAAGCUCGUGACCUACAAAAAGAAGAGUAGUUCUAGCAACAAAAAUUGCAAAAAGACCCACACACCCACAGAGGACUCAGUAUGAGUCCUCCACGUAGGUGCAGUAUUUCUGGAUCUUCCAAUCCUGGGCAGAUUCACGCAUCGAGGAGUGUGUCCGUUAGUACCAAGAGGAACUGAACAUGGAAUUCUGCUUAACCAGCAACCUAGGAUGCAAACUCCUAAGAGACAAUAAGAGAAUGACUUUUCCAUCCAAGCAUGAUAAGUACAUCAAACUGAAAAUGAUGCCCAGGAACAAGCAGUUCCAGAAACAGGAAUUCAAAUAAAAAUGACUUUGUAACAUUCACGGUUGUGCAGA